rnacentral:pre_miRNA from 1 species
AUCCGUGCUGAGAUUUCGUCAUACACCAGACCACAAGGGCUGAUGAGACUUCCAAGAU